ACACUUGUCAGCCAGGCUCCGCUGCAGAGCACACAAACUUUACAAUGUGUCACAAUCCACAUGUCUGUGUCAGGACUGCUUUCCCAAGGUAAUCUCAACCCUUUUUGAACCUUAAUUCCGGCUGAGAUUAAAGAGGACACUACCCGUGAGAUCAGAAUAUCUCGCAUUCCCACAAAACUGUUGCACGCAGGUAAUCAUCUGUCAGUUAUCAUUGUAUACAUCUUUCAUGCGUUGAAAACAGGAACAUUGCAAAAUCGUCAAGACCACUGAAAAAUGAAGAACACAGGCCAAGUUAUUUCACCUAAACAUCUACAUCUGUUAUGAGAGUAGUGCAAAAACUUAUGCUAUGCUACCAAAUGCAAAAUACAACCACAUGUCCUAUCCCAGAUGACCACAGAUGACCCCGGUGAGAAGGCCAUUCACGAAAAUAUAAAAGACUUGUAACUCACAGUGGCAGAAGAUGACACGUUUAACAAUAUCAUCUUCAAACCUUCAGUCCUUGAUGUCUGGGAGCUGCCAAACCUCAGUCGGUAUCUUAAACUUUCCAGUCAGCUCAAGGACACAAAUCUGCUUGUGUUUUAACCUUCUCCAGUUAGUGACAAUGGAAUCAUUUGAGGGAAACGUCUUCAUUCUGGAUGCCGUAAUUUUGGCAUCUACACCUAAAAAGUGUCACAUUUGUAUCUGAGCACCUGCAGAGAGUAAUGGCAAAGGACUAAUCAAUCGUGUUAAGUGUGCACUGUUCAAAAUCAAAUCUAACCUUGGUCAUUAAAAAGGUCUCUAUUCUA